rnacentral:rRNA from 1 species
UACGAAGGGGGCUAGCGUUGUUCGGAUUUACUGGGCGUAAAGCGCACGUAGGCGGAUAUUUAAGUCAGGGGUGAAAUCCUGGAGCUCAACUCCAGAACUGCCUUUGAUACUGGGUAUCUAGAGUCCGGAAGAGGUGAGUGGAACUCCUAGUGUAGAGGUGGAAUUCGUAGAUAUUAGGAAGAACACCAGUGGCGAAGGCGGCUCACUGGUCCGGUACUGACGCUGAGGUGCGAAAGCGUGGGGAGCAACAGGAUUAAGAAAC